rnacentral:ncRNA from 10 species
AAGAAGCAUAUAGAGAAGGUUUAGACCUCGGCAACCUGGAUGACUAUCCAAGGUGCUAAUAGAUGUGGCAGAAAUGCAACUAAUUAGUCAAAC